rnacentral:rRNA from 1 species
GAGGAAAGAGGGAGGCGUGCCUAAUACAUGCAAGUCGAGCGAACGGACGAGAAGCUUGCUUCUCUGAUGUUAGCGGCGGACGGGUGAGUAACACGUGGAUAACCUACCUAUAAGACUGGGAUAACUUCGGGAAACCGGAGCUAAUACCGGAUAAUAUUUUGAACCGCAUGGUUCAAAAGUAAAAGACGGUCUUGCUGUCACUUAUAGAUGGAUCCGCGCUGCAUUAGCUAGUUGGUAAGGUAACGGCUUACCAAGGCAACGAUGCAUAGCCGACCUGAGAGGGUGAUCGGCCACACUGGAACUGAGACACGGUCCAGACUCCUACGGGAGGCAGCAGUAGGGAAUCUUCCGCAAUGGGCGAAAGCCUGACGGAGCAACGCCGCGUGAGUGAUGAAGGUCUUCGGAUCGUAAAACUCUGUUAUUAGGGAAGAACAUAUGUGUAAGUAACUGUGCACAUCUUGACGGUACCUAAUCAGAAAGCCACGGCUAACUACGUG